AUCGUGCAGACGCAAGGGGCCCAAAAGAGGGGUCUCGAAAAGGAGGGUGUUGUGGGUGCUACCCCCAAAGAAAAAAAAAAUGGGUG
rfam:Procavia capensis cont1.141853, whole genome shotgun sequence.